GUGGGGAAUCUUAGACAAUGGGGGAAACCCUGAUCUAGCCAUGCCGCGUGAGCGAUGAAGGCCUUAGGGUUGUAAAGCUCUUUCAGCUGGGAAGAUAAUGACGGUACCAGCAGAAGAAGCCCCGGCUAACUCCGUGCCAGAAGCCGCGGUAAUACGGAGGGGGCUAGCGUUGUUCGGAAUUACUGGGCGUAAAGCGCGCGUAGGCGGACCAGAAAGUUGGAGGUGAAAUCCCAGGGCUCAACCUUGGAACUGCCUUAAAAACUCCUGGUCUGGAGUUCGAGAGAGGUGAGUGGAAUUCCGAGUGUAUAGGUGAAAUUCGUAGAUAUUCGGAGGAACACCAGUGGCGAAGGCGGCUCACUGGCUCGAUACUGACGCUGAGGUGCGAAAGCGUGGGGAGCAAACAGGAUUAGAUACCCUUGUAGUCC
rnacentral:rRNA from 1 species